ACCCGCUGAACUUAAGCAUAUCAAUAAGCGGAGGAAAAGAAACUAACAAGGAUUCCACUAGUAACUGCGAGUGAAGCGAGAAAAGCUCAAAUUUAAAAUCUGGUAGUCUUUGGCUGCCCGAGUUGUAAUCUAGAGAAGUGUUUCCCGUGCUGGACCGUGUACAAGUCUCCUGGAAUGGAGCGUCAUAGAGGGUGAGAAUCUCGUCUCAGACACGGACUCCCAGUGCUUUUGUGGUGCGCUCUCAACGAGUCGAGUUGUUUGGGAAUGCAGCUCAAAAUGGGUGGUGAAUUCCAUCUAAAGCUAAAUAUUGGCGAGAGAUCGAUAGCGAACAAGUACCGUGAGGGAAAGAUGAAAAGAACUUUGGAAAGAGAGUUAAACAGUACGUGAAAUUGUUGAAAGGGAAACGCUUGAAGUCAGUCGCGUUGUCCAGAAAUCAACCUUGGUUCUCCUGGGUGUACUUUCUGGUUCAACGGGUCAGCAUCAGUUUUGAUCGAUGGAGAAAGUCCAAGGGAAUGUGGCAUCUUCGGAUGUGUUAUAGCCCUCGGUCGUAUGCAUCGGUUGGGUCUGAGGAAUUCAGCACGCCGCAAGGCCGGGGUUCGCCCACGUACGUGCUUAGGAUGCUGGCAUAAUGGCUUU
rnacentral:rRNA from 1 species